GGGUGCGUAGUUUAGUGGUAAAACAGAGGGCUCCAGACCUUCAGCUGGGAGUUCGAUUCUCCCCGUGCCCA
rnacentral:tRNA from 1 species